CGUCUGAUCAAGGGUAGAUCAAGGACGCUUUCCUAUUCCGGGCGCCAGGCAUGAGAAAUCUCCCUUCGGGAUAUUUCUUUUGUUUGGGGGACGUAUGUAAACAGAUAGCCAUGCUAUGGCCUUGAAUUGCUAGUAUUACAUAAUGGUCACUAUGAUAUUUAUGUGUACCUAGAUGCUGCGCACUGAAUGGUGUUAAUGAUAAUUGACAGAAUGAACUCUGUGACUCUUGUAGCAAUGCGUAGUAUUCCUAAAUGAUGUUAUGAAACCAUGUGCAUAAUACGGGCAUAAUAAUAUCCAAAUUGAGAGUUUAACAACAUGUGACAUAUUUGGCGAUUCUGUGUCUGCAACGAUAGCUCUAGUACUCUAUAUUGAGUCAUGUAUUGUGUAUUCUAUAUAUUAACCUUUGUAACCUUUUAUGCCGUGUAUGAAUGAACGUAUUGUGAGUAAGUGAUGCCUCAUACUAGGUGGGGGACUCCGAGACCCAGGACUCGGAGACUCACAUCCUGCAUCCAGACUCUUUGAUUGGCAGUUUUGACGGUUUUGUUACUUUAUUUAGAAAUAAACUAUUAAUCUUAAUUUCGAACACUAAAUGUUCACUCAUGAUCGUCGUAUAUGGGCCGAACUAGUCAAAACUGUCCAUCAUAAGUAAAACCUUAUAUAUACCCAUAUGAAAUGAGAUUGUGCAGACUCCUGAUUUGGGCUGCUAUUAGCUGAUGUUAUUGUAAUUAUACGAUCACGCUUAAUAAAACCGCUUGAGAAAG
rnacentral:sRNA from 1 species